CGGUUUCUGGGGUGUGCGAUAAACAUCUUAUAUUUUGGACCUACACUAUUUUUUUGGGGAUCGGGCGGUUUCUUAACAUAUCGGGCCGCACCCUUUCCGGGAGAGGAUAUUUCCGAACAGCGGAUGGUAGACGAAGAUGCGAUGAUCCCCGCUUUGGCACUACCGGGUGCCAAAAUUUUGAUACGGCACCCCGGAGAUCCU
rnacentral:other from 1 species